rnacentral:misc_RNA from 1 species
GUCCAAUCUAAAUAUUUAUUUUUUUUAAAGAAAAAAAUGCCCGUUUGAAGUGUGAAGUAGCCUGGACUGGCCUGGUUCAAAUGUGAGAGAAAAACAGUUCCUAUCCAGUUUGGGCCUAGGAAGAUCACAUUCCUGAACCAGAUCGUGGCUGGGUGUAAUUGUUGUUACCUGGACAACAUGCAUGAAAAUAUUAUGGAAUUAUGUUGAUGAGGGUGGAAUUCUGUUAGUGAAUUUAUUUUUAAACUUGUAGGAAAAUGCUUUUCUUACUAAUAGUUGUUGCCUAAUUCCCGAGUGUGGCCUCCAGCUUUCUCCCUCUCCGUUUAAUACUUGAGCAAAUGAACU